AAGCCUUCUGCUACUCGAAUUGCUAAGGCCAGGUCCUGCAGAUUUCAUUUUUGCAGCUCUUUCCGUGCCCACUCCUGGAGACCCAUCUCAAACCUAAACACCUUUGUCUUCUUCUGCCAUGUUCCCUAUCUCCAGCAUCAAUGACUGAAACUGCCUAACAUACUCACACACGGACCCAGUCUGCCUCUGAUGCUUUUCCCGCCGUCUAUACCUUUUAUUGCUUUGCUCCUGCGAUCGGCGCCCGCGCUAAUGGUGAUCCCC
rnacentral:lncRNA from 1 species